rnacentral:lncRNA from 1 species
CAUUGGAGUGUGUGAGAAAUUUUGUUACAGUAACAAAAGUUUGUUUCUCCUCCAUAUUUCUCUCUACAGAUUUAUAAAUUCUCCUCUUUAAUUACAACAAGUGGUAUCAGAGCAUCAAAGAUCUUACAGGAAAGUGGAUGGCAUCACCAACUUUGCCCCUGCCAUCAAUAUUUUCUGGCGUGAACUAUGAGGUAUGGGCUGUCAAACUCAAGUCCUUCCUCAUGGCCUAAGAUCUAUGGGAAAUCAUGGAAGAAGGAUUUAUUCCG